GAUGAACGCUGGCGGCGUGCCUAAUACAUGCAAGUCGAGCGAACGGACGAGAAGCUUGCUCCUCUGAUGUUAGCGGCGGACGGGUGAGUAACACGUGGAUAACCUACCUAUAAGACUGGGAUAACUUCGGGAAACCGGAGCUAAUACCGGAUAAUAUUUUGAACCGCAUGGUUCAAAAGUGAAAGACGGUCUUGCUGUCACUUAUAGAUGGAUCCGCGCUGCAUUAGCUAGUUGGUAAGGUAACGGCUUACCAAGGCAACGAUGCAUAGCCGACCUGAGAGGUGGAUCGGCCACCCUGGAACUGAGACACGGGCCAGACUCCUACGGGAGGCAGCAGUAGGGAAUCUUCCGCAAGGGGGGAAAGCCUGACGGAGCAACGCCGCGGGAGUGAUGAAGUUUUUCGGAUCGUAAACCUCUGUUAUUAGGGAAGAACAUAUGUGUAAGUAACUGUGCCACUCUUGACGGUACCAAAUCAGAAAGCCACGGCUAACUACGU
rnacentral:rRNA from 1 species